CACUUUCGUUCAUUGCUUCUGUUUUUGUUGUUGUGUUUUUCAUAUAAAUUUCAAUACGUGUACGUAAAAAUACUUAAUAUGUAUCGUUUUUAUAAAGGUCUUCACAUUGUUAGCUAACAUAAAAAGAGUUUCAAUGUUGAAAAGGACGAUUCGCACAACAGACAAUGACUGUAAAGCAACGAAUGAAAUAUGUGUUACACGGGGAACAGAGAAAUACUGCGUAGAUAGUUUUCACGAAGUGCUCAUAAUAAACGUACGCCGUAAUUUGUGGUCUCCCAAGAUAAUUAGGUAAUUGAUGGGCUAUAACUGGUGACCAGGCCAUUCUGAAAUAGGAAGCACCAUGCUUGACAUAUCAAAGAUUGAUUUUAUUUUGAAAACAAAUACAACAACAAUUACAACAAAUUUCAAAAACGUUAUAUAUUAAAUCAUGUUUAUAUGACAGAAUACUAGAUACCUCAAAGAACAUGUAUGCCACAUUUAAUUAUUAAGAA